rnacentral:lncRNA from 1 species
CUUCGUUCUGCUGUUAAUUUUCUAAUGAAAUGUUGUCCUACAUCAUCAACAUACCUGACCCAGCAACUUUUUAGCAUCAAUUAAUUUUUUAGUGUAUUUCUUUUCUGAUUUUAGCGAGGCCGUUAUGAAGAACCUGCAUGGCUUUCACAAGGCAGCAAACGCUUAAUCAAAAGAAUGCUUACCUUAGAUCCUCUUCGUAGGGUGACUGUAAAAGAACUUUUAAAUCACGAAUGGGUUCAAUUAGGUUACAAUGAGCCGGUCUCGUUUGAGCCCUUGUAUGAUUUUCAUAAAAGAUGAUGCUUGCGUGUCUCUUCUGGCAGAGCACCACAAUUUAAGCUCCAAUGAAAUGUGGGCAAAGCUGAGUAAAUGGGAUUAUGAUUACGACACAGCGACUUACCUGAUUUUGGUCUCCCGCAAACGGCAGUCUCUACCUCUGAAACUGAAUCCAGUUUGGAGAGUGCCAACCCGAACUCCGUAUUCUAUCAGCUCCCGUCAAAAUGUUAUGGCAAAUUCACCAAGCAGCUUUAUGAAUUCACCUAUUCCCCCAGAAAUGAAACCAUUGAAAACAUCUACGCAGAUAUGUAAGUGCAUUGUACUCACAUAUAUUUCAAACUUUUAGAUCCAGUUGAUCUCAAGCUAUUAUCUUGGAAUAUUACAGCAUGAAUGCAGUUAGUAGCUGCCUCAGUCUAGGGUCAAAUCUCAGUGUCCUUAAAGCCAAUUCAUGAUUCCAUAUUGCUCCACGGUC